rnacentral:rRNA from 1 species
UACGGAGGGGACUAGCGUUGUUCGGAAUUACUGGGCGUAAAGCGCACGUAGGCGGAUUUGUAAGUCAGGGGUGAAAUCCCGGGGCUCAACCUCGGAACUGCCUUUGAUACUGCAAAUCUCGAGUCCGGAAGAGGUGAGUGGAAUUCCAAGUGUAGAGGUGAAAUUCGUAGAUAUUAGGAAGAACACAAGUGGCGAAGGCGGCUCACUGGCCCGGUACUGACGCUGAGGUGCGAAAGCGUGGGGAGCAAACAGG